rnacentral:lncRNA from 1 species
CUCGUGCGCCCGGCACGGGUCAGCGCCGUGACGCGUUCUGCUUCCGGGGCAGCACCAGCGGGCGCCAUAUUGUCUUGUUCGUGAAGACGAGAAGCGAAAAGAGGGGAGAAAGCGGCAGCGGUCACGGCAGCGCCUGCGGCGGGAGGCGGGGGAGCGCGUAAGUAGCGGGGUGGGCAGCGCUCCCCGCGCUCCGGGGCUGGUGGGUGCCGUAUCGACCCCCCACCUUCCGCCACGCACCUCUUCCCCGGGCCGUACCGCGCCGAGCAGGGGGCGCGGGAGGGCGCCGAGCGCCGCGGCCGGAGCUUCCCCUGCUCUGAAGGGCCGCGGCCCCGCGUCGCCCCCGAGCGGAACGCGCCCGCCCGCUGAGCCGAGCCCCUCACCCCGCGCCCUCCCCCGCCGCCCGGGCGGCCGCUGCGCAUGCGCGGGUGGGAGCGGGGCCCCUGAGGGUCCCGGGGGCGUCCGGAGCCGGUGUUGGGGCGAGCGGGAGGAGCGGCUCUCCGGGCCUAGGCGCUCGGGAAACAUGUCCGUGUGGAGCGCCCCGCGCGUCGUGGCAACCCUCGGGAUUGCGCUCCGCUGGAGGGCCCCAGAGAACUCCCGUUAGCGCUACCGGUGCACGCAGCGGCGCUGGUAAGGUGCCUGAGCGCAGCCCCGUGCCUGGGCGGGCGCUGGGCGCUCCCGAGCGGUCCCUAGUGCUGAGCCCGCGGCGGGUGCUCGCACAGGCAGGCCUCGGGCGCCUCUCCGGACUGUACCGCAGCGCCUGCGCGUGGGCCGAGCGGGGUGGGAGGCCGGGCCUCAGGGCGGCGGGGGCUGCCCCGGCUGGAACGGAGCCGGGCUCUGAGCGAGAGGCGGCCGUCUUCCUUUCUGUUGUAAGAGUCACACUCGUACGUGGCUGCGUGCAAAAGGCCUUCGCUGAACAGUGAGCUGAGUGCCAGCUGCCUUCCUGUGCUGCCGGGACACCACCCCUGCUGUUGUCUCUCACUGCGUACGUUCUCUGGGAGAACGGUCCCUAUGCUGUGGGGCUCAGUGGUAUUGCAGAGCUUCACAGUCCCCACGGUGCACAGUUUGCCAUGUCACUCCCAGUGCUAGAGGAGACUUAACUGUGUUUGGCUGGCACUGUGCAGAGGUAGCACCGGUGCAGCGGUACCCUCCCUGCUUGUCAUGUCGGAGGUGUGUGGUGGUCAGAAGCCUGCCUUUGG